GGGGCCGUAGUUCAGUUGGCUAGAACGCUACAUUCGCAUUGUAGAGGCCAGGGGUUCGAAUCCCCUCGGCUCCA
rnacentral:tRNA from 1 species